ensembl:lncRNA
AUGUCAGGUCUUUGGCUAGCCCUUUCCCUUCCCAGCCAGAAGUGCUGGUCUACACCAUCCAUGCCAAGAUUUUCCAUAAUCUGGCCACUCGCUUUCCAUUGGGUGCAAUACAUAAAAUGGAACGGUCAGUUUAAUGUCAACUGUCCAGCCUUAACUCACAAAACUUGUAUCAUUUUACAGAUAAGAUCCUUUGUUUUGACAUGCAUAGUGCAUAGUGCAAUUUGAUGACUAACCUUUUAACUUAUUUCAACUUUUUUUUUUUUUCAGAACAGCCAAGUUAUGAUUAAAAGAUAAGUCACAAUUUAUUUUCUAGUUCAAUUUGUCUUAUUUGUAAUGUCAUGUACUCGGCUUUUAAACAAAUUAUGACUGUGUUUGCUUUUUUGAAAACAAGGGCAGCUGUUAUUUUUCUCAACCUCUCAAAGCACACAAGCAUCCUGCCUGCAGUCCAGUUCCUUGCUAACGACCGCAGAGGAUUAAAAUGAAAAUGACACUCUUCCUUAAUAAAGACAUACAUUUGAGUGUUUAAGACAGAAAUGCUUCUGCUGCCAUAUAGCCUGAUCGUGCUUAAGUGUGCAACAUGCCUGUUUGAGGGUCACUCCGUGGGUAAGAGUUUUUAACAUGAAAGUCUGACCUUGGAGAAGCUGAUAGACAGCUCAGACACAUGUUGAGUAUUGCUCUCCUAUCACGCUCAUUCUCCACAGCGUUCCACAGGUGGAAGCUCUCCGGACAUUCCUCACUCCUGACGUGAACAAGUGAAUAGAAUAAAGCAGUCUGUAAAUCUGGCACAUCACACUUAUUGACACAAAUCACAGAUUUAUGGACUCGCGGCCAUGUGUGUGUGCAUUAAAGGAAGUGUAAAGCACAUGUUUUGCAGCUUAACUUCACACAUAUACCUGCAGCCUUCAGCAGACGCUUAAUGCCCCUCGCUUUGGUUUCAGGAGGAAUAAUGUGAGUAAAUGAAUCUGGCAUAUGGGAGUUGAUUCAAUUUAUUCAGUGUGUUAAAC